rnacentral:rRNA from 1 species
AAUUGGAGGGCAAGUCUGGUGCCAGCAGCCGCGGUAAUUCCAGUUCCAAUAGCGUAUAUUAAAGUUGUUGCAGUUAAAAAGCUCGUAGUUGAAUUUCGGGAUUGACGUGAUGGUCGUGCCUUAAGGGGUAUGAACUGUUGCUGUUGAUUUCUCACCUUCUGGAGAAACUUGAUGUCCUUAAUUGGGUGUCUUGCGGAUCCAGGACCUUUACCUUGAAAAAAUUAGAGUGUUUAAAGCAGGCAUUUUGCUCGAAUACAUUAGCAUGGAAUAAUAGAAUAGGACGGCAUGGUUCUAUUUUGUUGGUUUCUAGGAUCACCGUAAUGAUUAAUAGGGAUAGUUGGGGGCAUUGGUAUUCAAUUGUCAGAGGUGAAAUUCUUGGAUUUAUUGAAGACUAACUACUGCGAAAGCAUUUGCCAAGGAUGUUUUCAUUAAUCAAGAACGAAAGUUAGGGGAUCGAAGACGAUCAGAUACCGUCGUAGUCUUAACCAUAAACUGUGCCGACUAGGAAUCAGACGAUGUUAAUUUUUUAAUGACUCGUUUGGCACCUUACGGGAAACCAAAGUGU